UUCAACGUGAGAGUUUGAUCCUGGCUCAGAGCGAACGCUGGCGGCAGGCUUAACACAUGCAAGUCGAGCGGGCACUUUCGGGUGUCAGCGGCGGACGGGUGAGUAACGCGUGGGAACGUGCCCUCUGGUUCGGAAUAACUCAGGGAAACUUGAGCUAAUACCGG
rnacentral:rRNA from 1 species